GACGAACGCUGGCGGCGUGCCUAAUACAUGCAAGUCGAGCGCAGGAAGCCGUUCCGAACCCUUCGGGGGGACGACGGUGGAAUGAGCGGCGGACGGGUGAGUAACACGUAAAGAACCUGCCCAUAGGUCUGGGAUAACCACGAGAAAUCGGGGCUAAUACCGGAUGUGUCAUCGGACCACAUGGUCCGCUGAUGAAAGGCGCUUCGGCGUCGCCCAUGGAUGGCUUUGCGGUGCAUUAGCUAGUUGGUGGGGUAACGGCCCACCAAGGCGACGAUGCAUAGCCGACCUGAGAGGGUGAUCGGCCACACUGGGACUGAGACACGGCCCAGACUCCUACGGGAGGCAGCAGUAGGGAAUCUUCCACAAUGGACGAAAGUCUGAUGGAGCAACGCCGCGUGAACGAUGAAGGCUUUCGGGUCGUAAAGUUCUGUUGUAAGGGAAGAACAAGUGCCGCAGGCAAUGGCGGCACCUGACGGUA
rnacentral:rRNA from 1 species